ACUCCUACGGGAGGCAGCAGUAGGGAAUCUUCCACAAUGGACGAAAGUCUGAUGGAGCAACGCCGCGUGAACGAUGAAGGCCUCGGUCGUAAAGUUCUGUUGUAAGGGAAGAACAAGUGCCGCAGGCAAUGGCGGCACCUUGACGGUACCUUGCGAGAAAGCCACGGCUAACUACGUGCCAGCAGCCGCGGUAAUACGUAGGUGGCAAGCGUUGUCCGGAAUUAUUGGGCGUAAAGCGCGCGCAGGCGGCCUCUUAAGUCUGAUGUGAAAGCCCCCGGCUCAACCGGGGGAGGGCCAUUGGAAACUGGGAGGCUUGAGUAUAGGAGAGAAGAGUGGAAUUCCACGUGUAGCGGUGAAAUGCGUAGAGAUGUGGAGGAACACCAGUGGCGAAGGCGACUCUUUGGCCUAUAACUGACGCUGAGGCGCGAAAGCGUGGGGAGCAAACA
rnacentral:rRNA from 1 species